AACCUUUACACUGCACGACAGUGCGAUAAGGGAAUCCCAAGUGCGUAGGCAUAGAGCCUACGCUUUUGUCCACCGUAGGGAGGUGGACGAAUAAGGGCUGGGCAAGACCGGUGCCAGCCGCCGCGGUAAUACCGGCAGCCCGAGUGAUGGCCGAUAUUAUUGGGCCUAAAGCGUCCGUAGCUGGCCGCACAAGUCCAUCGGAAAAUCCACCCGCUCAACGGGUGGGCGUCCGGUGGAAACUGUGUGGCUUGGGACCGGAAGGCGCGACGGGUACGUCCGGGGUAGGAGUGAAAUCCCGUAAUCCUGGACGGACCGCCGAUGGCGAAAGCACGUCGCGAGAACGGAUCCGACAGUGAGGGACGAAAGCUAGGGUCUCGAACCGGAUUAGAUACCCGGGUAGUCCUAGCCGUAAACAAUGCCUGCUAGGUGUGGCUCCCACUACGAGUGGGUGCUGUGCCGUAGGGAAGCCGCUAAGCAGGCCGCCUGGGAAGUACGUCCGCAAGGAUGAAACUUAA
rnacentral:rRNA from 1 species